CACGUAGGGCGCAAGCGUUGUCCGGAAUCAUUGGGCGUAAAGCGCGCGUAGGCGGCCCUGUAAGUCCGUUGUGAAAGUCAAAGGCUCAACCUUUGAAAGCCGAUGGAUACUGCAGGGCUAGAGUCCGGAAGAGGAGAGUGGAAUUCCUGGUGUAGCGGUGAAAUGCGCAGAUAUCAGGAGGAACACCUGUGGUGUAGACGGCUCUCUGGACCGCAACUGACGCUGAGACACGAAAGCGUGGGUAGCAAACAGG
rnacentral:rRNA from 1 species